rnacentral:misc_RNA from 1 species
GAAGUAAUUAACGACGGAUCAGAAUUUGAUGUGGGAAAUGGCAAUCUUGACAAAUGGGGCCAGGAGUAAUCAUUGCCCAAAAAGAUACCAUGGGGCCGCGGCGAACAGACUUGGAGAUCACUCAUAUAAACAAGUGUAGCAGAAAGAGAAAUUGGAAGAUGGGAUUAAACGGGGAAAGAAAAAGGCAUUGUCCAGGUUCCCCGUGUGCUGGUAAACGAUGUAGAGCGGAUAUUACACAGAAGAAUGAGGAACAAGAAUUAACAUGGUGCAA